rnacentral:rRNA from 1 species
GAGUGGCGGACGGGUGAGUAACACGUGGGUAACCUGCCCUAAAGUGGGGGAUAACAUUUGGAAACAGAUGCUAAUACCGCAUAAAACCUAACACCGCAUGGUGUAGGGUUGAAAGAUGGUUUCGGCUAUCACUUUAGGAUGGACCCGCGGUGCAUUAGUUAGUUGGUGAGGUAAAGGCUCACCAAGACCGUGAUGCAUAGCCGACCUGAGAGGGUAAUCGGCCACACUGGGACUGAGACACGGCCCAGACUCCUACGGGAGGCAGCAGUAGGGAAUCUUCCACAAUGGACGAAAGUCUGAUGGAGCAACGCCGCGUGAGUGAAGAAGGUUUUCGGAUCGUAAAACUCUGUUGUUGGAGAAGAAUGUAUCUGAUAGUAACUGAUCAGGUAGUGACGGUAUCCAACCAGAAAGCCACGGCUAACUACGUGCCAGCAGCCGCGGUAAUACGUAGGUGGCAAGCGUUGUCCGGAUUUAUUGGGCGUAAAGCGAGCGCAGGCGGUUUCUUAAGUCUGAUGUGAAAGCCUUCGGCUCAACCGAAGAAGUGCAUCGGAAACUGGGAAACUUGAGUGCAGAAGAGGACAGUGGAACUCCAUGUGUAGCGGUGAAAUGCGUAGAUAUAUGGAAGAACACCAGUGGCGAAGGCGGCUGUCUGGUCUGUAACUGACGCUGAGGCUCGAAAGCAUGGGUAGCAAACAGGAUUAGAUACCCUGGUAGUCCAUGCCGUAAACGAUGAGUGCUAGGUGUUGGAGGGUUUCCGCCCUUCAGUGCCGCAGCUAACGCAUUAAGCACUCCGCCUGGGGAGUACGACCGCAAGGUUGAAACUCAAAGGAAUUGACGGGGGCCCGCACAAGCGGUGGAGCAUGUGGGUUUAAUUCGAAGCAACGCGAAGAACCUUACCAGGUCUUGACAUCCUUUGACCACUCUAGAGAUAGAGCUUUCCCUUCGGGGACAAAGUGACAGGUGGUGCAUGGUUGUCGUCAGCUCGUGUCGUGAGAUGUUGGGUUAAGUCCCGCAACGAGCGCAACCCUUAUUACUAGUUGCCAGCAUUUAGUUGGGCACUUCUAGUGAGACUGCCGGUGACAAACCGGAGGAAGGUGGGGACGACGUCAAAUCAUCAUGCCCCUUAUGACCUGGGCUACACACGUGCUACAAUGGAUGGUACAACGAGUUGCGAGACCGCGAGGUUUAGCUAAUCUCUUAAAACCAUUCUCAGUUCGGAUUGUAGGCUGCAACUCGCCUACAUGAAGCCGGAAUCGCUAGUAAUCGCGGAUCAGCAUGCCGCGGUGAAUACGUUCCCGGGCCUUGUACACACCGCCCGUCACACCAUGAGAGUUUGUAACACCCAAAGCCGGUGAGGUAACCC